CCAGGAGACCGUGGACAGUGUAGACACUGUGGAGAGAGUCGAUACUGGGGAUCAGCCCUUGCCCUCCUCCACUUCUGACGCUGGGACACAAUGUUAUUUGAAGCCCCCCCGAUGGUCUCACUCUGUGCAGGUUAACCUGAAGCCAAAGAUGGUUAGCGUGGGCACACAGACUUCAUUCAGCCCACAAACCUCCACUCCCCUCGCUAGUCCUGAACAGACAGUUGACGAUGAUGAUGAUAAUGCCACUGUCGUCAGUGACUUUUCGUGGGUGCCCGAAGAGCCGAUGGAUGAGGAGGAAUUGUUUGAUGAGGAGCCACCUUACACGUGUGACCCCCACCACAAUUGCAUUGACAAAUUCAUUGUUUGCCAAGAGGAGCCGAUGGGCCUUUUUGCCAUCUGUCCGGCCUGUUGUGAGAGGUCGGAUAGUAGCAUCGUGCAGCAGGAAGGAACUUUUGUUAAGAUCAAGCAGGUACAGUUUUGUUUAUGCAGUUUUGUUUACGCGGCCAUCUGAUUAGAAAAUCAGAAUAUCUAAUUACAAUCUGAUAACUCUGACUGUCUUGCCAGUUAAUUUACAAU
ensembl:lncRNA